AACGGAGGUGGCAAGCGUUGCUCGGAUUCACUGGGCUUAAAGGGCGCGUAGGUGGUCUUGUAAGUCAAAGGUGGAAUUCCACAGCUUAACUGUGGAACUGCCUUUGAUACUGCAAGGCUUGAGUCAGGUAGAGGAGGGCGGAAUUCCCGGUGUAGCGGUGAAAUGCGUAGAUAUCGGGAGGAAGGCCGGUGGCGAAGGCGGCCCUCUGGGCCUGUACUGACACUGAGGCGCGAAAGCGUGGGGAGCAAACAGG
rnacentral:rRNA from 1 species